rnacentral:tRNA from 1 species
UUGAUAGUAGUUUGAAAUAGAAUAUUUGCUUGUGGUGCAUAAAGGAGAUUAAAAUAAUCCUAUCAAA